AAGUCCCUCGUCACCUCCUCCGUCCCUCUCCCGCGAGACUCUCCUCACCGCCGCCACCUACGGUGGUCGAUCCCGGCCGAAUUCGGCGGCCGCCGGCAGCGCCCAGCACACCCACGUGAUCCCCUGGCCCGCUCCUCCAUCUCCUCUGGCCAGAUUCGAUGGGCGCGUCCUCCUGCGACCAUGCGCAAAACUCUCCAUCCACUAGGGUUUGGGCCACCGUGUCGCAGGUGUGGCUCCGGCGUUGCUCCGGUGAUUCAGAUCCACUCUCUUCCCUCGUCACACCCCUCCUUCAUUCUCCUCCUCACCACGUACCCUCUAACUCUCAGAUCCGUCGUCGCUCGAGCACCGGACGCCAUGUACGGGAUGGCUGCUUCCUCCCCUACCCAGACGAUGGAGCGACUAGAUCUAGGCGUGUACGACGACGCCCAGUGAUAAGGGACGGCCUGGCCUACCACCCUGAAGCCAUAGCAAGGCGGGUGAGGGAGGAGUAGACCACAUUCGGAUGGAGCCAAGAGGGGUCUGAAGCGGUCGUCUCCUUCGAGCACCAAGACGGGUCUGCAGUGGAUGCUGGGUUGGAGCUCGGGUCGAUGGCGUGGCCAUGGACACGACCUCCUCGACCUCGACAGCCAAAGGCUCUCGUAGACCCAAAGGAGCUUGUAUGCAAUGCACCUCCUCUCCGGUGGUGAGAGCGUACACGGGUCGUGGGUCCGACUAAUUUCCAUGUUUGUGGCCGCUCCUGCCACCGCACUCUCUUUAAGGACACAGCCAGAAAGACACUCAAUAAACAGAUCGUCGUCCUCUCCAACUGGAGGGGUCAGCUCAAGCGAUAGCUAACAUGGAAAGUGCUAUGGAAUAAGAGGUACCAGAAGGUGAAGAACCAAAGAGUGAUGUUGCUGUUGUUGCUGACUUUUUCUCACUAAAGAAUGACCCUCCAGCAGAUUCCCUCACUGACUGUGUUGUUUUGGUUGGUGCCAUCUUAUGUUACUGGUUACUAGUGCACAAUAUGGACAUGUGCCAUCUUAUGAACAUGGGGUAAUAAUACUAAGCUACUGGUUGUGUUA